CCGACCUCUCACCCCGUGCGUACCUUACCUUUGUUGCUUUGGCGGGCCCGCUGGGGCAACCCACCGCCGGCGUUGAGCCGGUGAGUGUCCGCCGGAGGCCCUCAAAACUCCGUCUGUCAGUGUCGUCUGAGUACUAUACAAUAGCUAAAACUUUCAACAACGGAUCUCUUGGUUCUGGCAUCGAUGAAGAACGCAGCGAAAUGCGAUAAGUAAUGUGAAUUGCAGAAUUCAGUGAAUCAUCGAAUCUUUGAACGCACAUUGCGCCCCCUGGUAUUCCGGGGGGCAUGCCUGUUCGAGCGUCAUUACACCCCUCAAGCCCCGCUUGGUAUUGGGCCCCGUCCCCCGGGACGGGCCUGAAAGUGAGUGGCGGUGCAGCCUGACUUCAAGCGCAGUAACUUCAAAACCCGCUUUGGAAGCCCUCAGGCUGCGCCGGCCAGACAACCCCGCCGUAUUUUCUACGGUCGACCUCGGAUCAGGUAGGGAUACCCGCUGAACUUAA
rnacentral:rRNA from 1 species